UGCUGAGCGAUGGAUGGCUGGGACCUCAGCCAUGGCCAUGGCCGCUUUUUGCUGUUUGUUGGCAUGAGUUCACGUUCUCAUACACAAGGAAUCAGACUCCAGGAUCAAAUGCUUGUCUAUGGUUGGCAUCACUCCAACAGACGUGCAGGGGAGUUCCACUUGUGCAGAGACAGAUUUGUCCCUGGGUUCCUCCAGAGAGAGUUGCACAACAUGCUCUGGAAACCAUGAGUGAAGAGUAUUCUUGUUGGAGUGAAUUGCAUCUGCUAGAUUUAAUUUAUUCAAAUCAGAAACAUAUUCAACCAUUUCCAACUAUAUGCUGCUUACAAAAUCUCAGUACAGCAUCUCCAGAAAGUCAUGAGCCAACUGCUGUGCAUGACCCGCUUUGGGAUUCAGGCUGCAACAGGAAACUCAGCUUGGAACAAGAAUUCUCUUUUAAAUGAACUUUUGAAACUGGAUCUACAUUGUGAAAUAUUUGGAUAUUGAGCAAUGGAAGAAUUUGGAACAUAAACACAAGCGACUGCUGCUUAUGAGCACAGCAAGCUGCAGCAAGCCGGCUGGGUGCUGCUGUCAGCCAUCCCCAUGGCACAGGGCACAUAGGAGACUGGUGGGAAAGAAAGGCUCAUUGAGAGCACUUCUUAAGCAAGGGUAUUUUUACUCAGAGCAUGAUGAGGCACUGGCACAGGUUGCACAGAGAAGCUGUGGGUGUUCCAUCCCUGGAGACACUCAAGGCCAGCAAGUUUGUGGAUGACACCAAGCUGAGUGGUGUGGCCAACACACCUGAGGGAUAGGAUGCCUGUAUGGGAACUGCUGAGUCACAACCUGCACUACUGACUGAGCACCUGGAGAAAAGACCCAGUCAGCCCUGGAAGCACAGGUGAAGGUAAUUCACCUGUGUGACCAAAAAAAGUGGACCCUGGCUUUACCCUUCUUAGACCUCAUUUUAAAGGCUGACUGCCACUGAAGAAGGAUCUCUUGUUGGAGAUUUCCCCUUUGUGGAGUCUUCCUGCAAUCCUUGAUCUUUGGAUACAGGUGUGCCAGAUCUUCCAUGGGUCCCAACAUGCCUCAUGGCCAGAUAAGAGCAGCCUACUUUGUGAGAUAGUGGGUUCAUCUGGCCUAAUACCUGUCCUCCAACAGCUGCUGAUGGAAGAAAUUGAGCAAUGUCCUUCUUCCGGACUGUGGAAGAGAGGCCUUCUUGUCUAAAAGUGGUGAUUUUGCAUGUAGUCACCCCAGUAUGUUCUUCUCCCAUGUAUUCAUCUUUUUUUCCCCCAACAUUUGCAAUCUUUCAGCAACCAUAAGGCUGAACUUUGUGAUCUGCUCUUGUAGGCAAAGAAAUCUCUUCCCCCCCUCCCCCCCACAAUUUUAUUGCGUGUUUCCAUUUACCCUUAAACAGAAGAAUAGGUUUGCUUUCUGUGGUAAAUAACUAGAUCUACUUACAUGGGCAGCUGUGGGAGGAUUUGUGCCCAUGAGCCUAUGCAUGGAGGCCAUCAGCGUGGGAAAUGAGGAAGUGAAAGUGACCAAACACUGGUUAUGUUGCUGGGCUCCAAGCUGUUGAAAACCUCUGUAUUUUGUCCAUACAUCAAAUAUGUGCACUUUGUUUGUAGACCAGGAACUGAUCCCCUAAAAACAUAGUAAGUCAAAUAUAGUGUCUGUUUUGUUUUCUAUCUUAAAUUAAACCUUUAUUUCCUUGCCAGAGCGAUGUUGUUUCUUUGUUCCAU
ensembl:lncRNA